GGGGGUAGGGUGGAAGAAGGAGCUAUGGGGGGUGUUGCUGUAUGGGGGUAGGGUGGAAGAAGGAGCUAUGGGGGUGUUGCUGUUUGGGGGUAAGGUGGAAGAAGGAAGGGGUUGCAGGGUGUUGCUGUAUGGGGGUAGGGUGGAAGAAGGAGCUAUGGGGGGUGUUGCUGUAUGGGGGUAGGGUGGAAGAAGGAGCUAUGGGGGUGUUGCUGUUUGGGGGUAAGGUGGAAGAAGGAAGGGGUUGCAGGGUGUUGCUGUAUGGGGGUAGGGUGGAAGAAGGAGCUAUGGGGGUGUUGCUGUCUGGGGCCAGAGUGGAAGAAGGAAGGGGUUGCAGGGUGUUGCUGUAUGGGGGUAGGGUGGAAGAA